rnacentral:rRNA from 1 species
GACGAACGCUGGCGGCGUGCUUAACACAUGCAAGUCGAACGAAGUGGCGAACGGGUGAGUAACGCGUAAUCAACCGGCCCAUCAGAGGGGGAAAACAGUGGGAAACGACGGCUAAUACCGCAUAGUGAAGGAGGGGAUUGCGACUGAUUAGCUAGUUGGAGGGGUAACGGCCCACCAAGGCGAGGAUCAGUAGCCGGUCUGAGAGGAGGAUCAGUCACACUGGAACUGAGACACGGUCCAGACUCCUACGGGAGGCAGCAGUGGGGAAUAUUGGACAAUGGGCGAAAGCCUGAUCCAGCCAUGCCGCGUGUGUGAAGAAGGUCUUCGGAUUGUAAAGCUCUUUAAGUUGGGAGGCGUUACCAACAGAAUAAGCACCGGCUAACUUCGUGCCAGCAGCCGCGGUAAUUC